rnacentral:rRNA from 1 species
AUUGAACGCUGGCGGCAGGCCUAACACAUGCAAGUCGAGCGAGCGGCGGACGGGUGAGUAAUGUAUGGGGACUGCCCGAUAGAGGGGGAUAACUACUGGAAACGGUGGCUAAUACCGCAUACUAUCGGAUAACCCAUAUGGGAUUAGCUAGUAGGUGGUGUAAAGGCUCCCCUAGGCCACGAUCUCUAGCUGGUCUGAGAGGAUGAUCAGCAACACGGGGACGGAGACACGGCCCAGAAUCCUACGGAGGCAGCAGUGGGGAAUAUUGCACAAUGGGCGCAAGCAUGAUGAAGACAUGCCGAGUGUAUGAAGAAGGAAUUAGGGUUGGAAAGUAAGGACAGCGGGGAGGCGUUACCCGCAGAAGAAGCACCGGCUAACUCCGUGACAGCAGCAGCGGUAAUUC